AUGCAAGUCGAACGGCAGCACAGGAGAGCUUGCUCUCUGGGUGGCGAGUGGCGGACGGGUGAGGAAUAUAUCGGAAUCUACCCUUUCGUGGGGGAUAACGUAGGGAAACUUACGCUAAUACCGCAUACGAACUGAGGUUGAAAGCGGCGGACCGCAAGGCGUCGCGCGGAUGGAUGAGCCGAUAUCCGAUUAGCUAGUUGGCGGGGUAAAGGCCCACCAAGGCGACGAUCGGUAGCUGGUCUGAGAGGAUGAUCAGCCACACUGGAACUGAGACACGGUCCAGACUCCUACGGGAGGCAGCAGUGGGGAAUAUUGGACAAUGGGCGCAAGCCUGAUCCAGCCAUGCCGCGUGUGUGAAGAAGGCCUUCGGGUUGUAAAGCACUUUUGUUGGGAAAGAAAAGCGGUCGGUUAAUACCCGGUCGUUCUGACGGUACCCAAAGAAUAAGCACCGGCUAACUUCGUGCCAGCAGCCGCGGUAAUACGAAGGGUGCAAGCGUUACUCGGAAUUACUGGGCGUAAAGCGUGCGU
rnacentral:rRNA from 1 species